rnacentral:rRNA from 1 species
AAUCAACGCUGGCGGCGUGCCUCAGACAUGCAAGUCGAACGAUUAAAGCUCUCUUCGGAGAGUGCAUAAAGUGGCGCACGGGUGAGUAACACGUAAGUAAUCUACCCUCGAGUGGGGAAUAACGUCCGGAAACGGACGCUAAUACCGCAUGAUGCAGCGGCACCGCAAGGUGACAGUUGUUAAAGAUUUAUCGCUUGAGGAGGAGCUUGCGGCAGAUUAGCUAGUUGGUAAGGUAAUGGCUUACCAAGGCUACGAUCUGUAACCGGUCUAAGAGGACGGUCGGUCACACUGACACUGAAUAACGGGUCAGACUCCUACGGGAGGCAGCAGUCGGGAAUUUUGGGCAAUGGGCGAAAGCCUGACCCAGCAACGCCGCGUGAAGGAUGAAGUAUUUCGGUAUGUAAACUUCGAAAGAAUAGGAAGAAUAAAUGACGGUACUAUUUAUAAGGUCCGGCUAACUACGUGCCAGCAGCCGCGGUAAUACGUAGGGACCAAGCGUUGUUCGGAUUUACUGGGCGUAAAGGGCGCGUAGGCGGCUUGUCAAGUCACUUGUGAAAUCUCUGGGCUUAACCCAGAACGGCCAAGUGAAACUGACAUGCUAGAGUGCAGAAGGGGCAAUCGGAAUUCUUGGUGUAGCGGUGAAAUGCGUAGAUAUC